UCUCCGUUGGUGAACCAGCGGAGGGAUCAUUACCGAACAAACAACUCGCGGAACCCUAUGACUAUCCCACAUGUUGCAGCCGCGCACGCCCGAGCGUGCCCUCUUGCAUAAUGAUCCAUCUCACCCUCUGUGCACCCCCUCGCGGGCUCUCUCUUGUGUGAUCUCGGAGGGGGGCUCGCGAACUCACACAAACGCCUCUUCUAAAAGUGUAGAAUGACCACAUUUCUGCAAACAAUACAACUAUCCACAACAGAUCCCUUGGCUCUCGCAGCGAUGAAA
rnacentral:misc_RNA from 1 species